CGUAAAAUUAAACUGGGUAGUGUGUAUGUGCAGGACCUCUGGACAUUCAGAUCUUGUCAAGUGUCUGUCCUUCCUCCUCUGGGCCUGUGCGCUUGGGACGAUGACACCCCUGAAUCCUCGCCCUUGUCUAUAAAUACUAAUGCUACAUGAGAAAUCCUCUUGGCUCACCUCAGGUUUCUCUGUGGCUUCGUCUACCGUCCUGCACUCUCGUCUCUCCUGGGGUGAAUGUGUGCUCUGGAGGAAUCAAAGCACACAAAUAAUCAACCUUCCAUGGAUCUGGAUACUUGAGGGGUGAAUGAGGCUCAUCAAGUGGACCUCAUGACCAUAUGGAUGACAUAUGAUGAAGCCAAGCCCCGACUGCCUCUCUGCUGAUCUCCCCAAAGGGAAGUUUCCUUUAAUUCGGGAAUACUCGGACUCUAUCUGCGCUGAGAGAAAGGCAAACACAAUGUUGUGAGAUCUUUGAGAAAAUGUCACUAAAAUGGGUCAGCCUUUCUAUUUCAGAGCCCUGCUCAUCUGCAAACAUUAAAGGCUAAAAAUAUGUACAUGGUGUGCUCUCAGCUCAAGCUUUGGGAAGGCUUCGGAUAUUAACAAUCGACUUGCAGCCCCGCAGCCCCUAUGACUUUCCCAGGAAGAAGGUGCACAUUUCUCGAAGACUCAGCAUCACUCCCCACACCUCUUUUCCAGCAAGGAAUUUGGACAAUUUGGACAAUACUAAUCUCUUGGGGGUGGCAAGGGGAUAGUGGGGAAAUAGGCAGGACUUAACGAAUCCAGCUUUUAUGCACCCCGAACACAGAGUCAACCUGCCUGGGGAAUAUUCUCUGGGCUUGGCAUCCAGUGCUAAAUGCUAGAUUUCCACAUUUAACCUGGAAAAACAAAUGCCAACAUCAGCUUGGGUUUCUGAUGCUCAACUUUUGUCUUUUUUCUUUUUUUAAAAAAAGAUUUUAUUUAUUUAUUCAUGGGAGACACAGAGAGAGAGAGGCAGAGACACAGGAAGAGGGAGAAGCAGGCUCCCUGCAGGGAGCCCGAUGAGGGACUCGAUCCCAGGACCUUGGGAUCACACCCUGAGCCCAAGGAAGAUGCUCAACUGCUGAGCCACCAAGGUGCCCUGAUGCUCAAUGUUUCCCCUUGUCUCUCUACAGUAUUCAGGUAUCCUCCACAGUCUCCUAAUCUGCAUGGACAGGAACACAAACAAGAAUUCCAAGUUGCCUAGCAGAGAGGACAGUGGCUCUGGAGGCAGGCACGCUCCAUGCUGAUUUCCAGUUUUGCCCCUAAUGAGGUGUAUAAAUGAUGCGACAGUUCACUUUUCCUCUCCCAACCAUUUCCUCAUCUAAGUAGAAAUCAUGGCGAGCUUGGGAAUUUGCCGUGAGGCUUGGUGAUGCUGGGUCUAAAACUCCUGGAUUAGUUCUUGCUGCACCAUCAGCACUAUGUGAGUGCGGUGUGAGUAUUAUUACCGAUGCCACUGUGAUCACUUACUUGGCUUGAUACGCUUGGUUCAAUGUGCCGGAUCUGGGGUCACACAAUCAUCUGGGGCCUGACGUCCCAUCUGGAUAGCUGAGUACUCUUUAUUCCUAAAUUCAUGGUCUCCAUACCUGAGCCAGUGAGAUGGCUCAGAUUUUUAUGUUUUCCCAAACCCCUGGGUGUUAGAAUUAUUUGUGUGUCUCUCUUCUCCAGCUGGUGAACUCCUUGGGGACAGGGAGCAGAUCUGAUUCAUGUCUUGUGCUUUGGGCCUCGUACAGGUGGGGCACGGAGAUGUUCUCAGUUCUGCUUGCUGAACUCUUCGGGACUGUGUUUAUGCUGGCCGCUGUCACCUCCUCCGUGGCUCUGUGGCUGCCUCUGGCUUUCCUGCCCUCCCUGCACCUCAUCCCAGAGGAGGGCGGAGUUCCAGGAGGCAGCCCUCCCUCCCUCUCUGGCCCUGGCUUCCUGCUGAGCGAGGAGACUUUCUUCCCAGAGGUCACCAAAACUCUAAAUCACCAGAGAAUGUGGAAAAGGCGAGAUCUGUGAACAGAGACUGGCCCGCAAAAAUUGGAAAUUUGGACCUGUUCUGAAGUUUGGGAUGUCUAAGGUCAAGGUCCCAGCAGGUCCUGUGUCUCUUGAGAGCCCUCUUCCUGGCUUCCAGAUCUUGUAUCCUCAAUGAUGUAUCCUCAACAUCAUAUCUUCACCUUUCCUGCUUGUAUCCUCACAUUGUGGAAAGCAGAGAGAAGAAGCAAGCACUUCUAGAAGAGCACUAAUCCCAUGGAGGGGGGCCCACCCUCACGACCUGAUCAUCUCGAAAGGCCUCACCCAACACCACCACAUUGGGCAUUAAGAUUUCAACAUGCGGACUUUGGAGCACUCACUUAUUAACAGACUAAAAAACAUCAUACGUCAAGAGAUGCAGAAGAACUGUUUGACACAAUCCAACAUCCAUUCCUGAGAAAAUCUUAAUAAAUUUGUCAAAACAAAUAAGUAAGCAAGACCCUAGGCAAAUUCUUUUUUUUUUUUUAAUAUUUCAUUUAUUUAUUCAUGAAAGACACACAGAGAGAGGCAGAGACACAGGCAGAGGGAGAAGCGGGCUCCAUGCAGGGAGCCUGAUGCAGGACUCGAUCCUGGGACUCGGGGAUCACACCCUGAGCCAAAGGCAGACGCUCAACCACUGAGCCACCCAGGUGUUCCGAACCCUACGUAGGCAAAUUUGAUCUCCAAGCAAAUCUUCCUCAUCUACAGAAAAUAAAUUUCAUCUCUUUCUCCUGAAUUUCUCCAGCA